rnacentral:rRNA from 1 species
GAUGAACGCUGGCGGCGUGCCUAAUACAUGCAAGUCGAGCGAACGGACGAGAAGCUUGCUUCUCUGAUGUUAGCGGCGGACGGGUGAGUAACACGUGGAUAACCUACCUAUAAGACUGGGAUAACUUCGGGAAACCGGAGCUAAUACCGGAUGAUAUUUUGAACCGCAUGGUUCAAAAGUGAAAGACGGUCUUGCUGUCACUUAUAGAUGGAUCCGCGCUGCAUUAGCUAGUUGGUAAGGUAACGGCUUACCAAGGCAACGAUGCAUAGCCGACCUGAGAGGGUGAUCGGCCACACUGGAACUGAGACACGGUCCAGACUCCUACGGGAGGCAGCAGUAGGGAAUCUUCCGCAAUGGGCGAAAGCCUGACGCAGCAACGCCGCGUGAGUGAUGAAGGUCUUCGGAUCGUAAAACUCUGUUAUUAGGGAAGAACAUAUGUGGAAGUAACUGUGCACAUCUUGACGGUACCUAAUCAGAAAGCCACGGCUAACUACGUG